UUGAUUAUUGUGUAGUUCUCAGACUGCAAGACGACGGGUUGAACCCCGGGGCAAGCCCAGGGCGAUCCUCCGGCGGCCGGGGCCACCGAGGCAACGGGUGGGUAGUCAAGGGUUGGAGGUUGGGCCCUGAGACCCUCGCUCGGUAAUGAUCCUUCCGCAGGUUCACCUACGGAAA
rnacentral:misc_RNA from 1 species